rnacentral:misc_RNA from 1 species
AAAGUCGUAACAAGGUUUCCGUAGGUGAACCUGCGGAAGGAUCAUUAUUGAUUCUUUAAGGAUGUGCUGGCUUUUCAUACAAGAAGCAUGUGCACUCUGAAAAACCAUCUCAUUCACCUGUGCACUUCAUUGUAGACAACAGCCAAUGUUGUCUAUGAUUUUUUUCACACAUUUUAUUGAUAUCAUGGAUAAUAAACAAUACAACUUUCAACAAUGGAUCUCUUGGUUCUC